GUUACUACCGCUGCUGCUGCUGCUGUUGCUGCUGCUGCUGCUGCUGCUGCUGCUACUACUGCUGCCGCUGCUCGUGUUAGCUGCUGUUGUUUGCUGUUGAUCUUCGCGCGUCGUUUUUGAUUACCACGCGCGACGACGGUGUGUUCGCGUUGCAACUCCCCCUCUUCCAAUAGGGAAGGCCGCUCUUUGCAUUUUUUCCUCGCGGGAAAUUCGAAGGCUCCUGUAAGGAUUGAGUUACGAUAAGGACGAAAGAAAAAUAAGAAGAAAGAAAGAAGAAGGAAACAAAACAAAAAAAAAAAAAGAAAAAAAGAAUAAAUAAAU